AACAAUUUCCUGCAUUUCACAAAUGAGGAAACAGAGGCAGGGACAGGUGAGGGAGAUGCAGGGUCACGCACAUGCCCUAGCUGGGGCCAGAAGCUGACUCAGUUGACUAAGAUAACACGCACAGGUCCUUCAGCUUGGGAAACCAAAAAGAUUCUUGCUGUUUCUUUUGCUCCUCUGAUCCAGCCCUGCCAUUCAGAGUCAGGAAAAUCAAGACUUGUCCAGUUACCACCAGUGGCAGUUCGCAGCCUCCAGGACUUGGCUCGCAUCGCCAUCCGGGGCACCAUUAAAAAGAUUAUUCAUCAGGAAACUGUGAGCAAAAACGGAAACGGACUAAAGAACACCCCCAGGUUUAAACGAAGGAGAGUUCGCCGCCGUCGAAUGGAAACGAUUGUCUUUUUGGACAAAGAAGUCUUUGCCAGUCGGAUUUCCAACCCCUCAGAUGACAACAGCUGUGAAGACUUGGAAGAGGAACGGAGGGAAGAAGAAGAGAAGACCCCGCCGGAAACAAAGCCAGACCCCCCAGUGAACUUCCUACGCCAGAAGGUCCUGAG
rnacentral:misc_RNA from 1 species